rnacentral:sRNA from 1 species
UUGGAAAGCAGCCAGGAAAUUCUGGACCUUAUUCACAAGGUUUGGAUGGAACUGUUGAGUAAGGCUUCAGUUCAGUAUGUGGUAGCAGCUGCUUGCCCAUGGAUGGGUGCUUGGCUUUGCUUGAUGAUGCAGCCUUCUCAUUUACCUAUCGAUUUAAAUAUGUUGCUAGAAGUAAAAGCUAGAGCCAAGGAAAAAACAGGUGGUAAGGUGCGCCAAGGCCAAAGCCAGAAUAAAGAAGUACUUCAGGAGUAUAUUGCAGGUGCCGACACCAUCAUGGAAGACCCGGCCACCAGGGAUUUUGUAGUUAUGCGGGCCAGAAUGAUGGCAGCCAAGUGAGUGUACAUUAAGUGUCACGUAGUCAUACAUUUACAAGUCUGGCUUUCAAAGGUUAUUUAACCAACAGAAGAUUCCUCUGCUGUUUCCAUCAAUCCUUCCUUCGUUCAUCACACUAAUUAUAGGCUAAGGAAAAAUUAGAGUAAGCAAAUACUUCUCAUUAUUUUAAAGCUUUAAAAUAGGAUUUAU